GCCAGCCGCUGCGGUAAUACGGAGGGUCCGAGCGUUAAUCGGAAUUACUGGGCGUAAAGCGUACGUAGGCGGGUUGUUAAGUUAGAGGUGAAAUCCCAGGGCUCAACCCUGGAACUGCCUUUUAAUACUGGCAACCUAGAGUUCGAGAGAGGUGAGUGGAAUUCCGAGUGUAGAGGUGAAAUUCGUAGAUAUUCGGAGGAACACCAGUGGCGAAGGCGGCUCACUGGCUCGAUACUGACGCUGAGGUACGAAAGUGUGGGGAGCAAACAGGAUUAGAUACCCUGGUAGUCCACGCCGUAAACGAUGUCAACUAGCCGUUGGGAGGGUAAUCCUUUUAGUGGCGCAGCUAACGCUCUAAGUUGACCGCCUGGGGAGUACGGUCGCAAGAUUAAAACUCAAAUGAAUUGACGGGGGCCCGCACAAGCGGUGGAGCAUGUGGUUUAAUUCGAUGAUACGCGAGGAACCUUACCAGGGUUUAAAUGCAGAACGACAGGGGUGGAAACACCCCCUUCUUCGGACGGACUGCAAGGUGCUGCAUGGUU
rnacentral:rRNA from 1 species